UGUGCCCUCAUAGUCAAGAAGAGUGCCAGCCCACAGUAGGACCUAUGUGAAUAUAAGUUAAACUUCUGAGUGACUUAUAGAAAAAUGCAGAUCUACAAACAAAAUGUGGUAAGGAUGCACCACAUAUGAUAACCUCAUUCAGUUCUGGGAAAGGAUUGGAAAGAGCAUGUCCCAUGCAUCAGCCCUGGCAACAGCCACUGUGCAUCUUUGGCCUGGAAAAAAAAAAAAAACCUACACAUCUCAAUAACAAUGGGAUCAAUUUUGACAUUAACACGAAUAUUACCAAAGCCCAAGAGAUACAUUGAAAUUCACAGAGCUCUGCGGCAGAUAAUAUAAAAGCUCCAACCUGCUCUCUAGAAACAAGAAACUUUCAUUUAUGGCUUCCCAGCUCUUGCUAAUCCUGCCCAUUAGGCCAAAAUAUUGCAUUUUACACAGGAUGCAAGAUCAUACCAGAGACUGAUGUAAUACUUAGGCAGAAAACCAGCUGGCAGGCCCAACCGCGCAAUCCCCUUUAUUCAGAAGACACAAAUCAAACCCAGGAUGCCUUUUUUGACAGAUUCCUGCAUGUUCCUCAUUAUGGAUAGAUGAGAGAAGACAUCUCCACGUUCUGGGGCGCAAGGCUCACUCCCGGCAUUUGCAUACCCAGUCAUUUGUAAACGGAGAGAAACACAUCCCCGCAUUUGCCCAGAGGUAGCUGUUUACUCAGAAAGGUGACUUGUGACAUUGACAAUCAUGUCAGUUUCCCAUCUGCAUAAUUUAAGGUGGAAUAUUAAGAAUUUUCGAGCGUGUCCCUGGCUGCCUUACCCUAUCCCAAAGAUGUCUAUGCUAAGAAGCCAAAAUAAAGAGACGUCAUGUAGACCAUUAGCA